rnacentral:misc_RNA from 1 species
CCCUUAGCUACAUCUAAAUUUCUUUGCUAUAUAAGACUAAGAGUAUGCUUCAUAAUAAUUUCUUGAUUAAUACUAAUUCCAAAGCAGACAAGCUUUUACAUUAUCUAAAUGUAUAUUGGAAGAGGGAGAAGAAAAUGCUGCAACUGGAUUUGCCAUUAACUGUAGUCUGGUCCCAUAAACAUAUAUGAUAGAGAAUACCCAAAAGAAAACAAAAGAAACAAGGAGAAACAAAAUCUAAUACUUAUAACACUAAAACAGGGAUUAAUCAGUUUAUUGUCAAAUAAAAUAAAUUACACCAUAAACACCAUUACUAAACUUGCAAAUAUUUUAUGGCGGUCUGCACAUCCUUAUCCCCUCUGCCACUGCAGUUCACUACAACCUUAGCUCCAUUUGGGAGAGUUGGGCUGAGCUUCUCCAAAUAAGCCAGGGCGUGAGAUGUCUCCAAAGCAGGUAUUAUGCCCUCUAAUCGUGAUAAUCUCUUGAAUGCUUCCAAUGCCUCCUCAUCUGUGACGCUGUAGUAUUCAGCACGUCCUUUCUCUUUCAGAAAACUGUGCUCAGGUCCAACUCCAGGAUAAUCCAACCCUGCACUAAUAGAAUGAGGCUCAAUUAUUUGUCCAUCAUCAUCUUGUAAUAAGUAGCUCAUAGCUCCAUGUAAGACCCCAACUUCUCCUUUGGUCAAAGUUGCUGCAUGCUUACCACUAUCCAAGCCUAAACCUGCAGCCUCCACACCAAUCAACCUAACAUCCUUGUCUUUAACAAAAUCAUCAAAGAGUCCUAUGGCAUUGGAGCCUCCACCAACACAAGCAACCAGAACAUCUGGCUUCCCACCCCAUUUUUCAAUUGCUUGUUUCCUUGUUUCUCUACCAAUAAUCUUAUGGAACUCCCGAACCAUCAUGGGAUAUGGAUGUGGCCCAGCUACAGAUCCCAAAAUAUAAUGGGUUGUCUCCACAUUAGUCACCCAAUCUCGAAUAGCUUCUGAUGUAGCGUCCUUCAGUGUGGCUGUUCCAGAAUGGACUGCCCUGACCUCAGCCCCAAGAAGCCGCAUCCUGAAAACAUUAAGUGCCUGUCUUUCCAUAUCUUGUGCACCCAUGUAGAUAAUACACUGCAAGCCAAACCUUGCACAAACUGUAGCAGUUGCAACUCCAUGCUGACCAGCCCCAGUUUCAGCAAUUAUACGCUUUUUGGCCAAACGUUUAGCAAGCAAAACUUGCCCAACGGCAUUAUUGAUCUUAUGUGCACCUGUGUGAUUAAGAUCUUCCCUCUUGAGAUAAAUGUGCGGUCCUUCACCAUUAGGACGCCUAUAAUGCUCUGUAAGCCGCUCAGCAAAGUAGAGAGGAGUUUCCCUACCAACAUAAUCUUUCAAAAUCCCAGCUAGUUCAUUCUGAAAAUCUGGGUCAUCUUUGAGGGAAUCGAAGGCGGAUUCGAGCUCAGAGAGAGCAUGCAUUAGGGUUUCAGGGACAUAUUUCCCGCCAAAUUUACCAAAACGGCCAUAAUAAUCGGGCCGCUGCCACAGAGCCGGGUCAGAAUCCUCCUUCCCCUCCAUCUUGACAGGAGCCUCUCUAGCCAAAGUGCAAGAGACGGAAAAUCCAGCAGACUUAGAAGAGGAUGAUGGGCAAGGCGUAAAUUUGCCGAACUUGAAGGGCAACUUGGAUGAAGAGUAGGGAUUGGAGAGAGUAGAAGAAGAAGAAAUGUGAGCUCUGCAAAAAGAAACCGGCGCAGUAGCAGCGGCCAUUAGGGAUUAGCUUUUGGAGUUGGCGGCG